rnacentral:rRNA from 1 species
UACAGAGGGUGCAAGCGUUAAUCAGAGUUACUGGGCGUAAAGGGCGCGUAGGUUGUUGCAUAAGUUGGUUGUGAAAGCCCUGGGCUUAACCUGGGAAUUGCAACCAAAACUGUGUAACUAGAGUACUGUAGAGGGUAGUGGAAUUUCCGGUGUAGCGGUGAAAUGCGUAGAGAUCGGAAGGAACACCAGUGGCGAAGGCGGCUACCUGGACAGAUACUGACACUGAGGCGCGAGAGCGUGGGGAGCAAACAGG